GCCCUUAGAGUUUGAUCCUGGCUCAGAAUGAACGCUGGCGGCGUGCUUAACACAUGCAAGUCGUACGAGAAACCGGAGCUUCGGUUCCGGGAGUAAAGUGGCGCACGGGUGAGUAACGCGUAGGUAAUCUACCCUUGGGUUUGGAAAUAACCCGCCGAAAGGCGGACUAAUACCGGAUAAAAUCUUUCAGAGGAAUCUGAAAGAUCAAAGGUGGCCUCUCCAUGGAUGCUACUGCCUGAGGACGAGCCUGCGUCCCAUUAGCUUGUUGGUAGGGUAAUGGCCUACCAAGGCUACGAUGGGUAGCUGGUCUGAGAGGAUGAUCAGUCACACUGGAACUGGAACACGGUCCAGACUCCUACGGGAGGCAGCAGUGAGGAAUAUUGCGCAAUGGGGGAAACCCUGACGCAGCGACGCCGCGUGGGUGAAGAAGGCCUUCGGGUCGUAAAGCCCUGUCUAGAGGGAAGAAAUUCUCAAUGGAAUAAUACCCAUUGAGAUUGACGGUACCUCUGGAGGAAGCACCGGCUAACUCCGUGCCAGCAGCCGCGGUAAUACGGAGGGUGCUAGCGUUGUUCGGAAUUACUGGGCGUAAAGCGGGUGUAGGCGGUUUGUUAAGUCAGAUGUGAAAGCCCACGGCUCAACCGUGGAAGUGCAUCUGAAACUAGCAGACUUGAGUACCGGAGAGGGAAGUGGAAUUCCUGGUGUAGGGGUGAAAUCCGUAGAUAUCAGGAGGAACACCGGUGGCGAAGGCGACUUCCUGGACGGAUACUGACGCUGAGAUCCGAAAGCGUGGGGAGCAAACAGGAUUAGAUACCCUGGUAGUCCACGCCCUAAACGAUGGGCACUAAGUGUCGGCGGGUUACCGCCCGCCGGUGCCGCAGCUAACGCAAUAAGGGCCCCGCCUGGGGAGUACGGCCGCAAGGUUGAAACUCAAAGGAAUUGACGGGGGCCCGCACAAGCGGUGGAGCAUGUGGUUUAAUUCGACGCAACGCGAAGAACCUUACCUGGGUUUGACAUUAUCUUGCCCGUCUAAGAAAUUAGAUCUUCUUCCUUUUGGAAGACGAGAUAACAGGUGGUGCAUGGUUGUCGUCAGCUCGUGUCGUGAGAUGUUGGGUUAAGUCCCACAACGAGCGCAACCCUUAUGCUUAGUUGCUAACUUGUUUUACAAGUGCACUCUAAGCAGACUGCCGCAGAUAAUGCGGAGGAAGGUGGGGAUGACGUCAAAUCAUCAUGCCCCUUACGUCCCGGGCUACACACGUGCUACAAUGGUCUGUACAGAGGGUAGCGAAAGAGCGAUCUUAAGCCAAUCCCAAAAAGCAGGCCCCAGUUCGGAUUGGAGGCUGCAACUCGCCUCCAUGAAGUAGGAAUCGC
rnacentral:rRNA from 1 species